AGUGAACGCUGGCGGUAGGCCUAACACAUGCAAGUCGAACGGCAGCACAGUAAGCGCUUGCUCUUACGGGUGGCGAGUGGCGGACGGGUGAGGAAUACAUCGGAAUCUACUUUUUCGUGGGGGAUAACGUAGGGAAACUUACGCUAAUACCGCAUACGAUCUACGGGUGAAAGCAGGGGAUCUUCGGACCUUUCGCGAUUGAAUGAGCCGAUGUCGGAUUAGCUAGUUGGCUAGGUAAAGGCCCACCAAGGCGACGAUCCGUAGCUGGUCUGAGAGGAUGAUCGGCCACACUGGAACUGAGACACGGUCCAGACUCCUACGGGAGGCAGCAGUGGGGAAUAUUGGGCAAUGGGCGAAAGCCUGACCCAGCCAUGCCGCGUGAGUGAAGAAGGCCUUCGGGUUGUAAAGCCCUUUUAUUGGGAAAGAAAAGAAGCAGGUUAAUACCCCGCUGUUCUGACGGUACCCAAAGAAUAAGCACCGGCUAACUUCGUG
rnacentral:rRNA from 1 species